rnacentral:lncRNA from 1 species
GUGAGUUACGCUCUCCCUUCCCGGCUCAUUCCCGCCCAAACUGCUUCCGUGAACCCCCACGGGUUUUGCUACUCCCGGUAGCACUUUGCAAUUUGUGCCACAGCUACCUGGCAUCUGCGUAGCUGCUGGCAGAAAAACCGCGUGCCUGCCUAGCUCUGCUCGGCAGCCGGUUUGCAGCUUUUAUCCACAGAAACUGCUCACCGCCGAGUCCACGCUCCCCGGUUCCCGCUAAGCUAAGUUGUGAGCUGCUGCGCGCCACAGCCUGUCACCACCUCGGCUUCUUGCUGCAACCUUCAUUGCCCCCAGGCUCCGACCGCCAUCCGCUGGGCCAGACCCUGGAUGCACCCGCUGCCGCGGAACUCUUACAGCUGAUAAACACCUUAAGUCAAGUGGCUGGAUACAAGAUUAACUCAAAAAAGUCAGUAUUUCUCCUACUGAGAGAUGAAGAAAUCAGAGAAUCAACACUCUUUACAAUAGUCUUAAAUAAUAUAAAAUAUUGUGGGGUGACUCUAAGCAAGUGUGAGAUUGUAUGAUAAGAACUUGAAAUCUUUGAAGAAAGAAAUUGAAGAAGAUAUCAGAAG